GCCUGGCUGGCUCAGUUGGUAGAGCAUGUAACUCUUGAUCUCAGGGUUGUGAGUUUGAGCCCCACACCGGGUG
rnacentral:tRNA from 1 species